CAUAGACAUCAAUGUUAUUUCUGCAGCUUGAAAGACAGCGACUUUUGAUAAAACUGGCCUUGUAGCACAUUGUCUAGCUUACAACGAUUUGAAAGACGCAUUGUUUAUGUUUUUACAACGUAUAUCCCAUGAGUUAUUGAGGCCGGAAGUCCGAAUCUGUGAAUAUCUUGCCAACUUUACCUAACUGUCAUAGUACGGCGAGCCGAAAGUCCCUUAACGUCAUUUGCGUGCGACACAAACGCAACAUAACGGAGGCGAUGGUACACCUGUUGCUCGGUCUGUGGCUUUCUGUCAGAUUCAAAGUAAUAGAAGAGUCGGAGAAAGCUGAGAGCAGCGAGUCGAAACACUCAGGAGACACACAGGAGAGUUUGGGAGGCGAUGCAGCAGUAUCAAGCUGAAGACAAGAGGAUAUGAACUAGACGACAUAUGAGGAUGCUCUCUGAUGAGACUUCAUGGGAUUUACCUGAAGCAGCAGCACAUGAGCCUGCAGUGGCACAAGGUGUAGAGGAGGAGGACAGAGAUGUACAGGAUGCACUGAUGCACUACGUGUCAUGCAAAGUUAUUCUUCUCGUUAUACUUCUGUUUUUCUGUCCCCGGACUACUAUUGUUUUCUUUAAUGCAAUUCUGACAAUAAACUUUUGUACCUUUUGCA